rnacentral:piRNA from 1 species
CCUGUCUUUCUUUGAGUCUUAGAUGA